GACGAACGCUGGCGGCGUGCCUAAUACAUGCAAGUAGAACGCUGAAGAGAGGAGCUUACUCUUCUUGGAUGAGUUGCGAACGGGUGAGUAACGCGUAGGUAACCUGCCUUGUAGCGGGGGAUAACUAUUGGAAACGAUAGCUAAUACCGCAUAACAAUGGAUGACACAUGUCAUUUAUUUGAAAGGGGCAGUUGCUCCACUACAAGAUGGACCUGCGUUGUAUUAGCUAGUAGGUGAGGUAAUGGCUCACCUAGGCGACGAUACAUAGCCGACCUGAGAGGGUGAUCGGCCACACUGGGACUGAGACACGGCCCAGACUCCUACGGGAGGCAGCAGUAGGGAAUCUUCGGCAAUGGGGGCAACCCUGACCGAGCAACGCCGCGUGAGUGAAGAAGGGUUUCGGAUCGUAAAGCUCUGUUGUAAGUCAAGAACGGGUGUGAGAGUGGAAAGUUCACACUGUGACGGUAGCUUACCAGAAAGGGACGGCUAACUACGUG
rnacentral:rRNA from 1 species